AACGAACGCUGGCGGCAGGCUUAACACAUGCAAGUCGAACGCCCCGCCAGGGGAGUGGCAGACGGGUGAGUAACGCGUGGGAACAUACCCUUUUCUACGGAAUAGCUCUGGGAAACUGGAAUUAAUACCGUAUACGCCCUACGGGGGAAAGAUUUAUCGGGGAAGGAUUGGCCCGCGUUGGAUUAGCUAGUUGGUGGGGUAAAGGCCUACCAAGGCGACGAUCCAUAGCUGGUCUGAGAGGAUGAUCAGCCACAUUGGGACUGAGACACGGCCCAAACCCCGACGGGAGGCAGCAGUGGGGAAUAUUGGACAAUGGGCGCAAGCCUGAUCCAGCCAUGCCGCGUGAGUGAUGAAGGCCUUAGGGUUGUAAAGCUCUUUCACCGAUGAAGAUAAUGACGGUAGUCGGAGAAGAAGCCCCGGCUAACUUCGUG
rnacentral:rRNA from 1 species